rnacentral:rRNA from 1 species
AUGGCUAGGAAGGAUGUUGCUUCCAUGUUUGCUGUUGCUCUCUUCAUUGGAGCGUUCGCUUCUGUUCCUACGAGUGUGCAAUCCAUCGGCGUGUGCUACGGCGUGAUCGGCAACAACCUCCCGUCCCGGAGCGACGUGGUGCAGCUAUACAGGUCCAAGGGCAUCAACGGCAUGCGCAUCUACUUCGCCGACGGGCAGGCCCUCUCGGCGCUCCGCAACUCCGGCAUCGGCCUCAUCCUGGACAUCGGCAACGACCAGCUCGCCAAUAUCGCAUCCAGCACCUCCAACGCGGCGUCCUGGGUCCAGAACAACGUGCGGCCCUACUACCCGGCUGUGAACAUCAAGUACAUCGCCGCCGGCAACGAGGUACAGGGCGGCGCCACGCAGAGCAUCGUCCCGGCCAUGCGGAACCUCAACGCGGCCCUCUCCGCCGCGGGCCUGGGCGCGAUCAAGGUGUCCACCUCGAUCCGGUUCGACGCGGUGGCCAACUCCUUCCCGCCCUCCGCCGGCGUGUUCGCGCAGUCGUACAUGACGGACGUGGCCCGGCUCCUGGCGAGCACCGGCGCGCCGCUGCUGGCCAACGUGUACCCCUACUUCGCGUACCGCGACAACCCGCGGGACAUCAGCCUCAACUACGCGACGUUCCAGCCGGGCACCAGCGUGCGUGACCAGAACAACGGGCUGACCUACACAUCCCUGUUCGACGCGAUGGUGGACGCCGUGUACGCGGCGCUGGAGAAGGCCGGCGCGCCGGGCGUGAAGGUGGUGAUUUCCGAGAGCGGGUGGCCGUCGGCGGGCGGGUUCGCGGCGUCGGCGGACAACGCGCGGACGUACAACCAGGGGCUGAUCAACCACGUCGGCGGCGGCACGCCCAAGAAGCGGGAGGCGCUGGAGACGUACAUCUUCGCCAUGUUCAACGAGAACCAGAAGACCGGGGAUCCCACGGAGAGGAGCUUCGGGCUCUUCAACCCGGACAAGUCGCCGGCCUACAACAUCCAGUUCUAA